GGUUGCGAUCAUACCAGCACUAAUGCACCGGAUCCCAUCAGAACUCCGCAGUUAAGCGUGCUUGGGCGAGAGUAGUAUAGGAUGGGUGACCCCCUGGGAAGUCCUCGUGUUGCAACCCC
rnacentral:rRNA from 1 species